AGCGCGGGGGGUAACUCCUGGCGGCGAGUGGCGAACGGGUGAGUAAUAUAUCGGAACGUGCCCUGGAGUGGGGGAUAACUAGUCGAAAGAUUAGCUAAUACCGCAUACGAUCUACGGAUGAAAGUGGGGGAUUCGCAAGAACCUCAUGCUCGUGGAGCGGCCGAUAUCUGAUUAGCUAGUUGGUAGGGUAAAAGCCUACCAAGGCGACGAUCAGUAGCUGGUUUGAGAGAACGACCAGCCACACUGGGACUGAGACACGGCCCAGACUCCUACGGGAGGCAGCAGUGGGGAAUUUUGGACAAUGGGGGCAACCCUGAUCCAGCAAUGCCGCGUGUGUGAAGAAGGCCUUCGGGUUGUAAAGCACUUUUGUCAGGGAAGAAACGGAGGGCUAAUAUCCUUUGCUAAUGACGGUACCUGAAGAAUAAGCACCGGCUAACUACGUGCCAGCAGCCGCGGUAAUACGUAGGGUGCAAGCGUUAAUCGGAAUUACUGGGCGUAAAGCGUGCGCAGGCGGUUGUGUAAGUCAGAUGUGAAAUCCCCGGGCUCAACCUGGGAAUUGCAUUUGAGACUGCACGGCUAGAGUGUGUCAGAGGGGGGUAGAAUUCCACGUGUAGCAGUGAAAUGCGUAGAGAUGUGGAGGAAUACCGAUGGCGAAGGCAGCCCCCUGGGAUAACACUGACGCUCAUGCACGAAAGCGUGGGGAGCAAACAGAAUUAGAUACCCUGGUAGUCCACGCCCUANACGAUGUCUACUAGUUGUCGGGUCUUAAUUGNCUUGGUAACGCAGCUAACGCGUGAAGU
rnacentral:rRNA from 1 species